AAAUCAACUUAAUCGCAAAAUUUUGAUCAACUCGCUUUAUGGUGCGUUAAACUAACCCAGGCGCACGUUAAACCCGGUGAACUCAGGGGAAAUCUCAAUGAGACAAUCCUGAGCCAAGCUUGUUAGUAUGAACGCGAUGUAAAAGGUGUUACCAGAAAUGGUUUGUCGAGUAAUAACACCAAAGCCUCCAAAGCAGGGCUAACAAGAAGGUGCAACGACUAUCGAAAGGCAACAUAUGUUGAACCGAGUAGAGUACACUCAAGUGAGUGGAAGCGCCGGGAUACCGAAAAGGUAUAUAAUAUAGUCUAAACAUAUAUGGCAACAUAUAG
rnacentral:ncRNA from 1 species